AGUGAACGCUGGCGGUAGGCCUAACACAUGCAAGUCGAACGGCAGCACAGUAAGAGCUUGCUCUUACGGGUGGCGAGUGGCGGACGGGUGAGGAAUACAUCGGAAUCUACUUUUUCGUGGGGGAUAACGUAGGUAAACUUACGCUAAUACCGCAUACGACCUACGGGUGAAAGCAGGGGAUCUUCGGACCUUGCGCGAUUGAAUGAGCCGAUGUCGGAUUAGCUAGUUGGCGGGGUAAAGGCCCACCAAGGCGACGAUCCGUAGCUGGCCUGAGAGGAUGAUCAGCCACACUGGAACUGGGACACAGUCCAGACUCCUACGGGAGGCAGCAGUGGGGAAUAUUGGACAAUGGGCGCAAGCCUGAUCCAGCCGUACCGCGUGGGUGAAGAAGGCCUUCGGGUUGUAAAGCCCUUUUGUUGGGAAAGAAAAGCAGCAGGUUAAUACCCCGCUGUUCUGACGGUACCCAAAGAAUAAGCACCGGCUAACUUCGUG
rnacentral:rRNA from 1 species